rnacentral:rRNA from 1 species
AGCAGCCGCGGUAAUUCCAGCUCCAAUAGCGUAUAUUAAAGUUGUUGCAGUUAAAAAGCUCGUAGUUGAAUUUCGAGAUCAAAUUGUUGGUCGUGCCUCGGUACGUACUGGCAAUUUUGGUUUCUCCCUUCUGAAGAACCAUGAUGUCAUUAAUUUGGUGUCAUGGGGAAUCAGGACUAUUACUUUGAAAAAAUUAGAGUGUUUAAAGCAGGCUCGCGCUUGAAUACAUUAGCAUGGAAUAAUGAAAUAGGACGUUUGAUUCUAUUUUGUUGGUUUCUAGGAUCGACGUAAUGAUUAAUAGGG